ACCUGCCCAGUUCUUGAAGCACAUGAUUUGUGACAGCUCUUUUUUGAGACACAUAGAAACGAGGUGGUCAGACCAGAUCCAUCCACGCCUGGACCUGUCAAGUUAGGACAAAAUGUGGCUCCAUUAUGUUGGUGGAGAAAUAUCGAGGCUAGGGAAGGCUCUCCAGGGAGAGGCCGGAGGACAGCUUUGUUACCAGUUUGUCACACAAAGGGACAUUAUAAAGUUUUUUUUUACCUUC